CUGGGCUCGAACGGCUUCUUAACGAUCGUGGAAACACGGUUAUCCCGCAAGGGAGUGGAGUCGAGGUGCUGCAUGGCUGUCGUCAGCUCGUGUCGUGAGAUGUUGGGUUAAGUCCCGCAACGAGCGCAACCCUUGUCCUGUGUUGCCAUGCCGAAAGGCGGAACUCGCAGGAGACCGCCAGCGAUAAGCUGGAGGAAGGUGGGGAUGACGUCAAGUCCUCAUGGCCUUUAUGUCCAGGGCUACACACGUGCUACAAUGGCCGGUACAAAGCGUCGCUAACCUGCGAAGGGGAGCCAAUCGCAAAAAACCGGUCUCAGUUCGGAUUGCAGGCUGCAACUCGCCUGCAUGAAGCUGGAAUCGCUAGUAAUGGCAGAUCAGCACGCUGCCGUGAAUACGUUCCC
rnacentral:rRNA from 1 species